GGCACCUGCGCACCCUGAUCCCCAACACCGCCGGCGCCCCCUCUGGAUCCCCAUCUCCACUGCCCCCUCUGGAUCUCCAUCUCCACCGGCGCCCCCUUUAUCCCCAACACCAUUGCCGCCCCUUUGAUCUCCGUCUCCACCGCCCCCUUGAUCCACAACACUCCUUCUCACACAGACCCUAUUUGAAGGCUGGAAUCGAGUUUGCAUGCAUGGGUUCUUCGGAGGCUGUCGCGGUAGUGACGAGGUCGUCAUUGAUCUGCACCUGAUGGUAGGUGGGCGACAAGGACGGCGCCGCGGCCUCCACCAGCUUCCACGGGAACGACGCCAUCGGCAGCCCCUACGCAUCCUUAGUCUGCGCCCGCGCCGGUGAAAUCCGCCGCUGCGACACCUCGUGCCUGCGCCGCCACGUCCUCCAACUUCAUCUCCUUGGUCUCCUCCCUCAAGUCCUGCCUCGCAUCUCAGAGGCCCUCGCCUGGUGAGCAGCAUCACGGAGGCCGUCGCCUGCCUCCACCCCUCGACGCCUUCCGUAACCUGCAGGGGGUGUUCUCUAAUUAGUGCCGGAAUUAUUUAGUUUCAUAGACUCUGAAUUUAGCAGGCUAAUAAGUGUUGGUUCAGGAUUGAGGUUCUAUAUUAUUUAGGUGUGUUUAUAGUACAUAUGGAAGCAUACUGGAGGUCUGAAGUCUGAAACGCAUUGUCAACAGUUUUCUUGAUAACAAACACAUGAUGUCCAAUAUAUCAUACGAAUUAGGGUGAGUUAUGCACCACCUGAAAGCACACCUUGCACCAAAUGAACUGCUACGAGAGCUUUCAGGUACUGGACCAAUGUGCUUGUAUUGACCAUCGACAUAUUCUCUCUGCUCACCACUUGGGAUCCAAUUUAUGAUCCCCACCAUCGAGUCCGCCAGCGUCGAUGCUGCCAGGUGGUGGAUGCCUGCUUGCCAGGGCCACGUUGACGCGAAGCAUAUAUGUCCACUGCCUGUCUUGCCGUAGGGGAGUUCCGCGAGGUCCUGAUCCGGCAUUGAUCCGAUGACGCCUUCAUGGCUAAGAGUUUGGUGCUCCCUACGGCCGGCGACGUAGCAGGCGGAGGUUCCUCUUGACUCGUCGUGCAACACCUUUGUCGAUCUGGGUGACGCUGCAGUAAAGAUAGAACUGUUGUUGUGCCAAUUGUCUCCUUCCCACGCCAGUGAAGAUAGAUAUGGAUGUCGAUGAUCAAUCUGAUGAAGAGGUAGAGUCUACUAUGCAAAGACUCUCGAGCAACACAUGCCUCCCCGACCUCGAGCACCACCGGCCUUCCUUCCCAACCACUGUACCGUGGAGCUGCCAAGGCGGUGGUUGCAGCUCAUCCUCUUCCUCUUGCGAAGAACAUGAUGUGGGCAGAGAGGUGGAGUUCUUCCUCAACUGGAUGAGCGAACCUGCUUGCCCUGCACCACCCACAUCGCCGAGAUGUAAGUUGAGUAGGAGAAGGAGCUACAGAGUGUGGAGCAGGUCAAGAUGGAGAUGCAGGAGGACUAUGUCGCGCUUGAUCUCGUACGAUUUGUCAAUCUCCAUAGUUAUGCUCUUGAGGAACUGAUAUAGAUUUCUCUUGAGAAAGAUAUUAGGAUGAAACGUUUUGAUGGAGCAUGCUAAAUUUCCUAUCUGAAGAUUUUUCCGUAGGUAUGUACCAAUCAUCAUAUUAGUAAUAGCUUAUAUUUUGUAGACGUUAGAAAUUUAAGAUGCUUACAUUGGUGCAAAUUUUUCUAUAGGUAUUUACAAUGUCUAAACUAAAGGCAUCAGCUACAUUUCAUAUUACCAUUAAUUGUUGCAAAUUUCAUAAUA